rnacentral:rRNA from 1 species
AGCACUUUGAAAAGAGAGUCAAAGAGACCGCGAAACCGUUAGGAGGGAAGCGAAUGCAGCUUGAUGACUCCGUUCGGGUUCAGGGAGGGUCAGUCGGGCGGAGGGUCCGGGACGACUCGCAAGAGCGUCUGGUCUCACUGGCUCGAUGAUCCGUCUGCAUUCCCGUCUUGGAGUCGGCCAGCGAGGGCGGCUGUUGGCCAGUUGAAGGCCGGAGGGUAGGUGCCUUCGGCGUCCUCCGGGUCGUCGGAGAACUUACAGCCUCCAGCUGUGUUCGGUUGUCGGUCGCCGAGGAGGUUGUGCCACUAUGGCACAAGUCAGCGCAGGCUCCGCAGGGGCCGGGUCGCUUCUGCCCGUUCGGGAGUCGCAGCAAGGGACUGCCUGCAGUGCCUGCGGACGUCCUCUCCGCUCAGGCGGGAGGUGGGUCACGACGUGCGCUGAAGUCGCUGGCUGAGGGAUGGCUUCAUCCGACCCGUCUUGAAACACGGACCAAGGAGUGCAAGAGGCGUGCGAGUCUUUGGGUGCUGUCCAAAACCCGAAGACGCAAUGAAGGUGAAGGGGGACUUGCUUCUCCCGAGGCGAGAGCCGGUCACCUGUCCGGCCCAUCGUCGACCGAUCCCAGUUCACGCGGUGGCGGGAUUCGAGUUAGAGCGUGUCUGUUGCGACCCGAAAGAUGGUGAACUAUGCCUGAAUAGGGCGAAGCCAGAGGAAACUCUGGUGGAAGCUCGUAGCGGUUCUGACGUGCAAAUCGAUCGUCAAAUUUGGGUAUAGGGGCGAAAGACCAAUCGAACCAUCUAGUAGCUGGUUCCCUCCGAAGUUUCCCCCAGGAUAGCUGGAGCCCGGUGCAGUUUUAUCAGGUAAAGCGAAUGAUUAGAGGUCUUGGGGUUGAAACAACCUCAACCUAUUCUCAAACUUUAAAUGGGUAAGAUGCUCGGCUUGCUCGGUUGAAGUCGUGCGCGGAAUGCCGGGGCUCCCAGUGGGCCAUUUUUGGUAAGCAGAACUGGCGAUGCGGGAUGAACCGAACGCCGGGUUAAGGUGCCCGAGUCGACGCUCAUCAGAUCCCAUGAAAGGUGUUGGUUGAUCUAGACAGCAGGACGGUGGCCAUGGAAGUCGGAACCCGCUAAGGAGUGUGUAACAACUCACCUGCCGAAUCAACUAGCCCUGAAAAUGGAUGGCGCUGAAGCGUCGCACCCACACCCGGCCGUCGGGGCGAGUGUCGUGCCCCGACGAGUAGGAGGGCGCGGCGGUGGCUGUGCAUCCUGGGGCGCGAGUCCGGGCGAAGCCGCCGCCGGUGCAGAUCUUGGUGGUAGUAGCAAAUAUUCAACCGAGAGGUUUGAAGACUGAAGUGGAGAAGGGUUCCAUGUGACCAGCAGUUGGACAUGGGCUAGUCGAUCCUGAGAGAAGGGAGAGGUCCCUGUCGAUGGUGCCAUCGCUCCGGCGAGCGCACCGGAUCUCGAAAGGGAAUCGGGUUAACAUUCCCGAACCGGGAUGCGGAUAGGCCUUGCGGCCGUCAGCGGCAACGCAAGCGAACUCGGAGACGUCGGCGGGAGCCCCGGGAAGAGUUGUCUUUUCUUGUUAACGGGCUAUCACCCUGGAAUCAGAUUGGCUGGACGUAGGGUUCGAUGCCCGGUAAAGCGCCACACUUGUGGUGGCGUCCGGUGCGCUCCCGACGGCCCUUGAAAAUCCGAGGGAGCGUUUGAUUCUCGCGCCCGGUCGUACCGAUAAC